GGGAUGUAGCUCAGUGGUAAAGUGCUUGCCUAGCAUGCAUGGGGCCCUGGGUUCCAUCCCUGCUACCA
rnacentral:tRNA from 1 species